AUUCAAAAGUCUCUGUUUUUUUUUUUUAUCUUCAGUUUAUUUAGUUUUUGUUCAUCGUUACAAAUCAAAUCCUCGCUCAAAGAAGAAAAAUUCAAGAAAAAAAAUGUAGAAGCUGUUUGAGGAAGGUGGAACCUUUCAUAACGAGACAAAAUUAUCAAGUUGGCAGCUCCCAUCAUCAUUUGGCAGUGUUCCAAGAACCAACAAUGCCUGGAAAGUUUAUCUCCUCUGAACCAACGAUCACAGGAGUCCGUGUUUUGUUAGCAACCUCCAAUUGGGCCAUAUAAUGUGCUUCGUAGUCCGUGGAUCUCGAUCAAUAUUGUCAUAAAAAUUUUCAUUCCGUACUUUCUAAAUGUACCACAUAAUCUAAGAAAAUUAUUGGAAUAUGUUGGUGUUCUCCAAAACAAGUGAUCGAUAUUUAUAUAGAGCGAUAUACACCAUUGGUAUUAAAUAUCUCUAAUGAUGAUGUAAUAAAACGACAAAAAAAUCUUGUAAA